CGCGGUCUAGUUCUUGGACGGGGCGUCGUAGAGGGUGAGAACCCCGUAUGUGAUCGGCGACCUCGCCCAUGUGAAACUCCUUCGACGAGUCGAGUUGUUUGGGAAUGCAGCUCAAAAUGGGUGGUAAAUUUCAUCUAAAGCUAAAUAUCGGCCAGAGACCGAUAGCGCACAAGUAGAGUGAUCGAAAGAUGAAAAGCACUUUGGAAAGAGAGUCAAAAAGUACGUGAAAUUGUUGAAAGGGAAGCGCUUGCAACCAGACCUGCACGCGGGCGAUCAGCCGUUCCUUCUGGGCGGUGCACGCGCCCGCGAACAGGCCAGCAUCGGUUCUGGCGGCCGGAUAAAGACCUAGGGAACGUAGCUCCUCUCGGGGAGUGUUAUAGCCCAUGGUGCCAUGCGGCCAGCGAGGGACCGAGGACCGCGCUUCGGCAAGGAUGCUGGCGUAAUGGUUGUAAGCGGCCCGUCUUGAAACACGGACCAAGGAGUGGAACAUCUAUGCGAGUGUUUGGGUGUCAAACCCAUGCGCGGAAUGAAAGUGAACGGAGGUGGGAACCUGUCCAGGGCGCACCAUCGACCGAUCCAGAUGUCAUCGGAUGGAUUUGAGUACGAGCAUAGCUGUUCUGACCCGAAAGAUGGUGAACUAUGCCUGAAUAGGGUGAAGCCAGAGGAAACUCUGGUGGAGGCUCGCAGCGGUUCUGACGUGCAAAUCGAUCGUCAAAUUUGGGUAUAGGGGCGAAAGACUAAUCGAACCAUC
rnacentral:rRNA from 1 species